UUUUUAUUUGCAACAUUAAUACACAAAAUAUACUUUUUUGGCCAAAUAUUUUCGCAAACAAUGAACACAUACCGCAUACGCAACAAUAAUACAUUAACAAUGAACAAUGUACACUCCCUCCACUUAACAAAUGAGACAAACAAUGUUGUGUAGCACGUAUCUCUGUAUAUAAUGUAAGAAAAUGUGCUGUUUCUCUAGUAUUAUAUUGGACAUCUCUGGAGUUUGACUUUAGCUUAAAAUCCAAAAGUUCAUAUUUAAUUUUGCAUUUCAAAAUUCUUACAUUUUAAGAUACUAUUAGAGUAUAAUUUCUAAAAAAAUAUGGGUAUUACAAUCAUAAUAAUUUUAAAAAGAUUAUUAUGAUUGUAAUAUCCAUAUUUUUCAUUAUAAUGUCAACGUAUACAGGUACAUAAAAAAAUAAUAAUCAUACAAAUGUAAAAUAAAAAGUUAUACAAAUCUAUUUUUCAUGUUUUAGGUGUUGAUGGAGAACCUCCGCAAGUUCCUCCAAAACCUCCUACUGAACCAAAUACUCCUAUUACAGGACAGGCAGGCGACAGAUUUACUGAAGCCCGCUAACGACAACUGUUUUUACCAAAUAAGCUGCAAUAUCCAAGAUCCCUGUCACAUUCGGAAAAAAAAAUUGCUUACUAAUUUGUAUAAAUUUAAAAAUGUAUUUCUUUGUUAAUCAUUAUUGUCUUUGAACCAUUAUAAUAUUCAAAUAACAAUGUAUUCCAAAUAUCAUAUUUUGUUAACUAUCAAUUAUAUUAUAUGUCCAUUACAUAACUAUCUACCAGUAAAAAUAGUAUU